AGCGAACGCUGGCGGCAGGCCUAACACAUGCAAGUCGAACGAACCCUUCGGGGUUAGUGGCGGACGGGUGAGUAACACGUGGGAACGUGCCUUUAGGUUCGGAAUAACUCAGGGAAACUUGUGCUAAUACCGAAUGUGCCCUUCGGGGGAAAGAUUUAUCGCCUUUAGAGCGGCCCGCGUCUGAUUAGCUAGUUGGUGAGGUAAAGGCUCACCAUGGCUACGAUCAGUAGCUGGUCUGAGAGGAUGACCAGCCACAUUGGGACUGAGACACGGCCCAAACUCCUACGGGAGGCAGCAGUGGGGAAUCUUGCGCAAUGGGCGAAAGCCUGACGCAGCCAUGCCGCGUGGAUGAUGAAGGUCUUAGGAUUGUAAAAUCCUUUCACCGGUGAAGAUAAUGACUGUAGCCGGAGAAGAAGCCCCGGCUAACUUCGUGCCAGCAGCCGCCGUAAGAC
rnacentral:rRNA from 1 species